rnacentral:rRNA from 1 species
UACGAAGGGUGCAAGCGUUACUCGGAAUUACUGGGCGUAAAGCGUGCGUAGGUGGUUUGUUAAGUCUGUUGUGAAAGCCCCCGGCUCAACCGGGGAGAGUGGUGCCGAACUGGACUUCUUGAGGGCGAUAGAGGAGAGUGGAAUUCCGGGUGUAGCGGUGAAAUGCGUAGAGAUCCGGAGGAACACCAGUGGCGCAGGCGGCUCUCUGGGAAUGACCUGACGCUGAGGAGCGAAAGUGUGGGGAGCGAACAGG